CUCGCCAGACAGUGAGGAUAAAGAGCGAGCAUUGUUUACAUUUUUCCAGCACUAUUUAAACUUAUUGUACUUAAAAAAAAGAUUAAAUCAUUAGCUGUUGGGGUGUGGAUCGGGAGGUGUGAGAAAACUCAGCUCCAAAAACACCCCCCCCCCCCGUCUUUCUUACUUAUAUAAAACUUUGUUCUGAAGGCUUCUUCGGGGCCAAAGAACAAGCACACAAACAAAAUCAGGUCGUAACCAUCCUGCUCUCUGCCCCUUGCUCAGCUGGACCCUGGGUGGAGCCCCAGGACAAAGGUCUGGGGAGCACCCAGAAGCAGAGCCAGCACACCCAGGAGGGGGGCCCACGUGCCCCAGCUCAGGCUCCCAAGUGGAGACAAGCAAUUGGAGGGAGUGGCCAGACUCCUCCCACCCCAACAUAGUGUCCGUGCUCAGAGCGGGGAGCCCCCAGUUCCCUCCUCUUUGAAAUGGGGCCGCUGGGAGAACCCGCCGGGACACCCGUGGGCCCGGUGGGAGGGAGGACCGGGUUGGGCCAGGCGCUCCGGCAGUGCGGGCUGAACCCGGUCUGUGAAGAUGGGCCUGGGGUGUGGGGAAGCUUUUGCAGGUCAAAAAGCAUGUGUUUGGAGAAACCCUUGCUCUGUUCUUGGCUUGGGAGCCUCAUGCCUUCUGCCUUCUGUGAAUCACUUCUUCUUACAGCAUUGCUGUUUUCCCCACCUCGUGUUGAAGUCAUGUGAACCCCCCGUGCCAGUUUCUGCCUCCUCUUGGGCUGGCCGCCAACAGCCGCCUGCCCGUCCGUGCUGUUUUGAGGCAGUGCAAGGGACAGACACAGAGGCCGAGGGUCCCCCUCCGGGGACAAGGCCCUGCCCUGGACUUGCCAGGUUUCAGGCAUCUGGCGUGAGGCGGUGGGAAGAGCUCUUGACUGGCGUCGGGAGCCCCGGAUGCUUCACGGACCUGCCGCGCAACUGCCUGUGCCAACCCCGGAUUCAGCUACCGCCCUGAGAAAUGGGACAUCUGGCCUGAAUGUCACAAAGGGCCUUCUCGGCUUCGGGGUCCUAAGGGAAGGGCUGGAGCUGAGCUCUCUCCUGCCAGGCCCUCCCUCGUGGUCUCCCCCACAUCCGGCCCUGCUCCCUGACAGGGUUCGAGGCACCGGCAGCUACUGGUUAACGCAGACCAGAUGCAACCCUUUCCCGGGACAUGCUCGGCGGCCUUCCUCCGCGGAGGCCUUGGGGAUAUUUGAAACGCCAUGGAGUUUGGCUUUGGAGCCCAGAGUGGAAACCACAGCUCCAUUACGCGAGCACAUCUGAUCUCCCUGGGAGGAGAGAGGCGACUGGCCUCAGAGAAAGAGAGACAAGUUGGAGGCCGCUGGCUCUCUGGGGAACAGUUUUGCUUCCCUGCUUAUAGGAUGGGGUCUGGGAGCCACAGGGAGGGCAAGUCUGGCAUCUGAUCUUGGAGAUGCUGGGUUCCCUAAUCCUUGAGGAUGGCGGCAAAGGCCAGGGGCCUCUAGAGAGGAACUUGAGUCCCCUAUGUGGACCGGACAUCCACCCAGGAACCAUUCUGCCUCGUGUCACCCCCGCCGUGAGAGCGCAUAUAUUGAAAGCUUUCGUGUUUGCCAGACCCCUCGUCAAAGAAGAAAAAUUCCAUGGAGAGGGAAUGGCCGCCUCUCCCUCCUCCUCCCUGGGACGGACCAAGCAACUGGAUUUGCACAAACGAGUGGGAAGUGAUUCCAAAGUCACUGCCUGUUAAGACGCCCCAGCUUCGAUCACUGCCUAGUUGGGUCACUUUGGGCCAAUGUCUUACUGUCUCCAGCCCCAGAUUCCCAUUUGCCCUGUGGAAAUAAUAAGCCUCACCUUGGAGAUGGGGGCUAUAGGAUGCGCAUAAAGGAGCCUCACAGAGGCUCAGUGGAGGUGAGUCACUGUUACUCCCAAAUGACCUGGAUUAAUCCUCCUCUCCUGUUUCUAAAUAUUCCAAGACCAUCGUCACUGCCCAUCAGCACUGUGGUUGGCAGAAGUAACAGAGACACCCCCAGGGGUGGCUGCGGUCGGAGCCGAGGUGGCCAGUCAGCUGGGCUUCAUGAGGGUAGCAUCUCCGGGCUGGAGUGCUGGGGCAGGCACUUUGAAACUGCCCACACGCGGCCCCAUCGUGACUCUUAAGGGCAGGACCCGGGGCUGAGGCCAUCUCUGUCAGCCCUUCCAGCCCGAGGCUCUUUCUCCCCAGGAGUGAAGGUUCAGGCAGGGCAGUGGAUCCUCGAGCUUCUGCUCAGUGCCCACUCACCUGGGUGCUCUGGGCUGCUUCCUUGGCCAUUUCUGCGGGGCGCAGGACUGAAUUGCUUGGUCACUCAGCAAGUGAAUCGGGGACAGCAGCCAGCCAUGUUAGCUCCCUGGUGUGUGUGUGGGGGGGGGGGACGAUGUUAUGAGGGUAGGGAGAGUGGUCAGUGGUUUAGUCAUAUGAUCCUUCCUACUGUCGUGGGGAGAGACCUCAGGCUCAGGGCAUCAACCAGGGGUGGGGUCUAAGAGUGUGGGUGCAGCAGUUUCCCUGUAAACUUAAGAUUUGUGGAAGGAAAGAGAUUGCGCUUGGUAGCAGACCUUGAAAUCGACAUAACGAAGCCUUUUCUAGUCUUGCCAAACCCUCCAAUGUGUCUCCAUCCAUGCCCCCCACCCUCCCUCUCAUUCAUUCACACAUUCGUGCAGCCACUCACUCCAUGAAUACUCCACGAGCACCCUCUUUGUUUCUGGCGCUGGGGAUACCACUCUGAGUAUAAUGCCUGCCCUCAUGGAGCUUUCGGUCUAGGUGGGGAGAAAGACCUUAAACAAUGAGUCGUACACAUCGGUACAAAAUUCACACUUAACAGGUGCCGGGAAGGAAAAGAACGGGGGUGUCGGGAGAGCACCUAACAAGGGCCCCCUCCUCCCAAAGGUCAGUCCUUGCUGUGUGUCUGGCAGUGACCUAAGUCCUUGACGUGGACUCGCUGGAUCCUUGCCACGUCCCUGUGUGCCACUGUCAUCACCAUCCUACGGGUGAGGAAACCGGGCGGACCCAAGAUCUCGGUCGUUUAUCCUAAUUCUGUGCCGUGGGAGGGCAGCCCUCCCUCUUCCCUUUUCCACAACUGAAGAAACCAAGACUUUAGCUGAAGUCAAAUGUUUUUCUCAAGGUCACAGAGCUGGAAUGGCUGAGUUCCCUGGCUCAUCUCCUCCAACCAACUUGGGACAGAAUUUUUCCCCCAGUGGAGAUAAAUCAGCCACUUACAACUGGAAGCUCAAUUGCAUUUAUGGCCUCACAAUUUUUCACCCCUCCCUGUAUUCACAUGCUUUGCUCAGUAAAUCUGCAGUGCUCUCUUACCCAGGGUAGAAUGUUCUGCAGGCCCUGGCUCUGGGCUCAGUCCUGCGAUUUGCUGUGGCUGAUGGGAUAUUAGCAGACUUGUUGCAAGCCGAGGCUCCACAAAGCACUUGCGCAUUUCCCCUCCUACGUUUCUUCUCUGCCACUGUCACGAGAACGUGCCGACUGGCUUGCUGAAUGAGUAGGCCUGUGGCCCUGAACCAAGGUACCCCUGGCAUCCCAGCCCAGGCCAUUGUAGGUCAGACCUCCACGUGAGAGGCCCCAGCCAAGAUCGGCUGGACCCCACACACUCGUGAGCUAAACGAAUGUUUGCCCCUGGGGUUUGGCUCGUUUGUUACGCAGCAUGAUGGCAAUUGUUGACGGAUACUGAUCUGUAUGAAGCCAAUGUGACCGUAGAUUGCAGAUGAUGAGCAAGGCUGGAGGUCGCUACACAGCAGGGGAGGAAGGAAAAAUUCUGAGCUGAGAGGUCAGGGAACGAGCCAUCGAACAGUGACACGGAGCUGAAUCUUGAAGGAGGAAAAAACAGGUGGCCCAGCAGAUGACACAGACACAGGCAUGGAGGUGCACACUUGCACUUGUCCAAGGAACGGCAAGUCACCCAGUAGGGCUGCUACGUGGAGGCAAUGUGGGAGUGAGACUGGACUACCUGAAAGGCAGCUGCCACCGAUUUCUCCUUGCCUGAGCGUAUAUGGUGCUCCUUCCAGAAAGAGGAGGGCUUGUGUCCCCUCCCCUUGAAUCUCGACUGGCUUUGUGACUUACUUUGAUGAACAGAAUAUGGCAGAAGUGACUCUGUGCCCGUUCCAGGCCUAGCCUUAAAUGGCCUGGGGCCCUCUGUGUUCCCUCUCUCUUUUGGAAGUCAGCCGCCAUGGAAAGAAACUCGGGCAGACAAGACAGGGUUGAGGAACCAUGCAUGCAGAAGGCAAGGUCACAUGGAGGAGAGCUGGAAACCCCAGCACAGGUGUGUGGAGGAGGCUUCUUGGACAUUCUGGGCCAGCUGAGCCCCUGGCUGGACACAGCCACGCCGAUCCCACGUGGAGCCCGGGAUCUGCCCAGCUGACCUGCAGAGCUCUGAGCGGGGAGUAACCCAGUGUGAUUUCAAGCACUGAGUGGUGGGGUGUUUUGUUACCCAGCAGAGAUCACUGAGACAGGUGGCCUGGCAGAUGCUAGUUUCUGGGAGUCUCUGGGACGUCUAACCUCCUCGAGAGCCCUGAGCUUUGUUCGCAUAAAACUGGCGAGGGCUUUUCUCCUGUUUCCUUCCUGCUAGGGAGGGUGAGGGGAGUUGUGUGGUUUCCCCACAUCCCAUUUUGAAGGCACUCCUAUGACAAGCUAAUGGAACUCCUAGGUAAGAAUGACAAGCUAUGAGCUUGGACUCUGGGGUCAGACUCCUGGGAUUUAAGUCCCAGCUCUGUCAAUUUCUAGCUGUGCGACUGACCUUGGGCAAUCUACAUAACCUCUCUGUGCCUCAGUUUCUUUAUCUGUAAAAUGAGGUAUUAGAUUCCUAUGUGGAUUAAAUAAGGUAAUAUAUCCAAGCUCUUAAAAUAGUGCCUGACUCAUCAUAAGCCCUCAAUAAAUAUCAUCUACUGUUUUAUUGCUACUGUUGAGGUUGCUGCUACUAGUAAUAGGAGGAGGGGGUUCCAGGGCUUCUGAGCUGGAUAUUUCAGUGUUCUUGACCUGAAGGAGCCCACAGUCUCACCGACUCCAAGUAGAGCUGACGCCUGAACAGGUAAGUUACAAUACAAAGGGGUGAAAAUAAAAACAAGAGAAUGAUCGAGUCUGGGAGUGGUUUAUUGUACCUGGGAAUUAAGAAGACUUCCUAAGGGAGGUAACCAUCGAGCUGGGUUUUGAUGACUGAACCCAGUUUGCUGGCUUUAUCAGUUUACGCUUGGCUCUGAGUCAAAGCGACCACCACCACCACUGCCAAACAAAAACGGAAACACAAAAAUAACAGCAGCUUCAACAAGAUAGAAGUUUCUGUCUGACUCCAGUAGAAAUCUGGUGGUGGAAGGCCCAGGGCCCCUAGGGUGUCCAUUGCUCUCCUCCUGGUGCAAGGUGGCUGCAAGAGCUCCGGCAGUCGGGCUCUUUAAGAACAUUCCUAGAUUUUGUACGCCGUAUUUACAAGCUGUUGGCAAGGCUUCAUCCCACGGCCAACCUAAUUGCAAGGGAGACUGAGAACAUAUUCUUUAUUCUUUAUUCUGUGGCCAGCUGGCUAAGAACUGGGUACCCCGUUACUGAGGAGGACUUGGGGAGCAGACACUGGAGGUCUAGGUUCCCACUAGAAAGAAUGGCACAUGCAAAGGCCUGUGUACUUGGAGCACACGGCUGGUUCUGUCUUCACAGGGCCUUCAAGCAUCCUCACUCCUUCUCUGCUGAGACGUUCACUGGUUCAUCACAGGCCGGCCUGUGGACUUGCACUUAGAUCAGCGUCCUGCCAGCCAGGUUGGGACCAGGGAGCCAGUGCUGUUGGAGAAGAAAGGGAGCCACAGAGGAUGGCGUCUUGGAGCAAGCGCUAGGAAGCACAGCCCCCACUCGGGGCCAGGAGGCAGGAGAGCGGGAGAUUCACACGGCCGAGGUGUCGGCAUGGAACUCCAGUUCUGCCUCGGACACGCUGGGUGAUGUGAAGCCUCAAUUUUCCCAUCUGUAAAGUGGGGGUCCACUGAAGGGCAUAAUGAGGGCUCCAGAUGAUGGGUGGGAAAGGCCUUGGCAAGAGCUCAGGUGCCCUGCAGACACACGUGUUAGUGCAGAGACCUCUGAAGGAAGGCCUCCCCCAGGGCAGCCUCUCUUCCACACCGUCACAGGCGCGGGGCUUUCAACAGACAGUACUGCCCGCCUACCGCCUACGAGGCCCGGCGGGCCUGAGCUUCUCAGGGAUCCACCCGCCCCCACCCCGCACUUGCGCACCCCUUCCUCACCUCCCAGCCUCUCACAUCCCCUCGGUCAGCUCACUGGGUGCAGCCAGCAGCCAGCAGCCCGGCCCCGGGGCGGCAGGCCGGGAUUCCAUGCACCUGGGACGAAAGCAGAGGUGGCCUGGAGAGCCUGGGAGCCCAAGCGCCGGUCCUACUCAGCCACACGUUUCCAGCGGGAUUUGCCGCGUUUCUUCGCCCCAGGUGGCGCGCACGUGACUCACGCCGAGCCAAUCGGCGUCUUCUGCAGGGGAUUUGCAAUCAGGACCCAAAGACUUCAGCUGAGGCCACCUGGCUUCACAUCUAGAGGCCACGUCGAGCCGGGAGCUGUUGACAGCUGUGCUUUCCGCUACCGACCGGAGGCGUGAGCAGAGCCAGGGGACGGCGGCAAGGCAAGGAAAUGGAAGCUCGGAGAAGUAGCCAUUUGUCCGAGGCCUGCUUUCGUCCACCUCUUCCGAAGGCUCAGCGCCACGGCUCCUGCUGCGUUUCAUUGGCCCCCUUGUCCACAAGUCACGGGUUACCAGAAGACCGUGGCUUUCAUUCUGGGCACCCUUCUGCUCUCUCUGAAUGAAGCCAGCUGCCAUGUUGUAAGCUGCCCAGGAGAGAGGCCCAAACGGCAAGGACCUGAGUGGGGCCUCUGGCCAGCCACCAGAGAGGCCAGCGAGGUUAGUGAGGAACCCAGGUCUGCAGUCCAGCAACCCACGAGGCCCCAAAUCCUGCCAACAAGCAUGUGAGUGAGCUUGGCCACAGAUCCAUCCCUGGUCGGGCCCAGACGACUGCGGUGCUGGCCGCCAGCUUGAUUGUGGCCUAUGAGAGACCGUGUGGCAAAGGGCCAGCUGGGCCAUGCCGACUCCUGCCCCAUGGACACUGUUAAGACAAUAAAUGUGUGUGGUUUUAA